AACGCACAUUGCGCCUCCUGGUAUUCCGGGAGGCAUGCCUGUUCGAGCGUCAUUAAAUACCUCUCAAGCACCAUUGCUUGGUCAUGGAAGAUGAGUAUGCUUGCAUUCCCCCUUCUGAAAUUCAAAGGCGGAUCAUCUCAUAUUCCCUGGCGUAGUAAGUGUUUAUCUUUCGCUUGGAGUGUGUGACAGUCUUGCCAUCGACCCCCAUUAUUUCAAGGUUGACCUCGGAUCAGGUAGGGAUACCCGCUGAACUUAA
rnacentral:misc_RNA from 1 species